GACGUAGGGGGCCAGCGUUGUUCGGAAUUACUGGGUGUAAAGGGUUUGUAGGCGGUGCGGCAAGUCGGGAGUGAAAUCUCUGGGCUUAACCCAGAGGCUGCUUCCGAAACUGCUGUGCUUGAGUGUGGGAGAGGCGCGUGGAAUUGCAGGUGUAGCGGUGAAAUGCGUAGAUAUCUGCAGGAACACCCGUGGCGAAAGCGGCGCGCUGGACCACUACUGACGCUGAGGAACGAAAGCGUGGGGAGCAAACAGG
rnacentral:rRNA from 1 species